UACGUAGGGUGCGAGCGUUAAUCGGAAUUACUGGGCGUAAAGGGCGCGUAGGCGGUCGUGACAAGUCACUUGUGAAAUCUCCGGGCUUAACUCGGAACGGUCAAGUGAUACUGUCGGACUAGAGUACAGAAGGGGCAACUGGAAUUCUCGGUGUAGCGGUGAAAUGCGUAGAUAUCGAGAGGAACACCUGCGGCGAAGGCGGGUUGCUGGGCUGAUACUGACGCUGAGGCGCGAAAGCCAGGGGAGCGAACAGG
rnacentral:rRNA from 1 species